rnacentral:rRNA from 1 species
CAGCGCCACAAGUGGGAGCCAUGUUUAUUGGGCCUAAAGCGUCCGUAGCCGGUCCGGUAAAUCUUCUGUGAAAUUGUCUGGCCUAACCAGACAGCGUGCAGGAGACACUGCCGGACUCGAGACCGGGAGGGGUCAGAAGUAUUCCUAGGGGAGCGGUAAAAUGCUAUAAUCCUAGGAAGACUACCUGUGGCGAAGGCGUCUGACUAGAACGGUUCUGACGGUGAGGGACGAAAGCCAGGGGAGCGAACCGGAUUAGAUACCCGAGUAGUCC